rnacentral:rRNA from 1 species
UACAGAGGGUGCAAGCGUUAAUCGGAAUUACUGGGCGUAAAGCGUGCGUAGGCGGACACUUAAGUCGAAUGUGAAAUCCCCGGGCUUAACCUGGGAACUGCAUCCGAUACUGGGUGUCUGGAGUAUGGUAGAGGAAAGUGGAAUUCCCGGUGUAGCGGUGAAAUGCGUAGAUAUCGGGAGGAACAUCAGUGGCGAAGGCGACUUUCUGGACUAAUACUGACGCUGAGGCACGAAAGCGUGGGGAGCAAACAGG